AGUCCCAGAAGCCGGCAUUGACAGCAAUCGUCACAGCAAUGGGGUGUUCCAGCAGCACCCAAACGCAGUCUCAGGAGAGCAGCAGGCCAGUGACCAAGACUGGUGUUACCAACGGACUGAAGCAAAGCGCUUCAGAUGGAAACUCUUCAAUCCCACAUGAAAAUGAAAUUUGCCUCGACAAGACAAAACAGUGUGCAGUGGGAGCAAAAGUUGAUGCUAAUGAUGAAACAGGACCAAUCAAUCACCUUCUAGCUGGGGAGCCCAGGGUUGUGAAGCCAUUGGCAACUGAUGGUACUAGUUCCACCUGUGAAGAGGAAUAUCCUGAGAAGGCAGGGUCCCCAGGCUCUGAGGAAAGAGUUCAAGCAGAGUGUCUGAAAUCAGCAGAUAAAGUUAAGAAUCCAGGAGCAUCUAAGGAGUCUGUUCCACCUAUAUCUGCUGGAAAAAAUGAACUUCCAGGAACAGAGGAAAAGGAUAACAGGGAAAUGGAGAAAGGUACUCAGCCUGUAGGAAAAUUUGUCGAGAUUGAAAUAUUUGGAACUAUAAAGGAGAUCAAGCCACUGAUAACAGCUAGUGAAGUAGAAGCCACAGAAACAGGAGAACAUAAUGAGCAUCGAGGAGUGGCUGAAGAAGCUGAUCCCCAAAGAACAAUGAAGGAGAAUAAGCAUCUGAUAACAUCUGAAGAAGCUGAACCUCAAGAAACAGUCGAAGAUAUUCAGUGCGUAGAUACUGAUAGAAAGACAGUAGUGUCGGAGGAGAACAAUUAUGUGGGAACAGCUGGAGAGACUGAAACUUCAGGAACACUGGAAGAGACUGAACAUGAGAGAAUCGCUGAAAAGACCAAAACUGAAGGAACAGGUGAAGAAACUGAGCAUGAGGAAACAGCUGGAAAGACUGAACCUUCAGGAACACACGAAGAGUCUGAGCAUGAGGGAACAGCUGGAGAGAACAAAACUUUGGGAGUGAUGGAAGAGACUAAGCAUGAGGGAACAGCUGGAGAGACCAAACCUUCAGGAACAAUGGAAAAGGUGACUCUGUAA
rnacentral:lncRNA from 1 species